GGCCUUCGUCGUUGACAUGAUUGUUGAACCUAUACCUUUGACAGUCGACCAUAAACGUAUACGCGCUGUCAUCCAGUGUUAGUGCGUCGUGCUGAGGAUCAAUGAGUUCAUGAAAACAUCUUCGAUAAAUUAUCAAAAGCCUGGGACUCCGGGCGUUUUGUGGAAGGAACUG